AACCUUGAGAAUUCGGGGCAAAACGCCUAUUUAGGACGGGCCGGGGCGACCCGGCUAUGUCGGUAGAAUGUUAGGUGGAAUAGGCAUUUCGGACCCGGGGGGCAGUACCCCGGCGCCUCCACCAUCAGCCCCCGCAUGGGGACCCCAUCAAAGUAGUACUUUGAUGGGACCCGGCGCGGGGGUUGCUGAUGGGGGCGAAAUAGGAUCGACGAGUGCAGUAAAGGCCUGAUUGCCGGCCGGCCUGAAUGAGCCGUAAAACCGUUCAUAACCACAAGUGCCAACGAUAACGAGGCGCUCGCAAUUGCUGCGUAACUGACGGCCUAACGGUCUGAAGUUACAAUGACAAAAGCGCGGUCGGACCCCACCGGGCAACAGAAGGGGAUUCCA
rnacentral:tmRNA from 1 species